rnacentral:rRNA from 1 species
GAUGAACGCUGGCGGCGUGCCUAAUACAUGCAAGUCGAGCGAAGCGGGGACGGGUGAGUAACACGUGGAUAACCUCCUAUAAGACUGGGAUAACUUCGGGAAACCGGAGCUAAACCGGAUACUUACAGAUGGAUCCGGGCUGCAUUCGCUAUGUGGUAAGGUAACGGCUUACCAAGGCAACGAGGCAGAGCCGACCUGAGGGGGUGAUCGGCCACACUGGAACUGAGACAGGGUCCAGACUCCUACGGGAGGCAGCAGUAGGGAAUCUUCCGCGAUGGGCGAAAGCCGGACGGAGCAACGCCGCGUGAGUGAUGAAGGUCUUCGGAGCGUAGAACUCUGAUAUUAGGGAAGCGGUACCUAAUCAGAAAGCCACGGCUAACUACGUGCCAGCAGCCGCGGUAAUUC